rnacentral:rRNA from 1 species
UACGGGAGGCAGCAGUGGGGAAUAUUGGACAAUGGGCGAAAGCCUGAUCCAGCAAUGCCGCGUGAGUGAUGAAGGCCUUAGGGUUGUAAAGCUCUUUUUACCCGGGAUGAUAAUGACAGUACCGGGAGAAUAAGCUCCGGCUAACUCCGUGCCAGCAGCCGCGGUAAUACGGAGGGAGCUAGCGUUGUUCGGAAUUACUGGGCGUAAAGCGCACGUAGGCGGCUUUGUAAGUUAGAGGUGAAAGCCCGGGGCUCAACCCCGGAACUGCCUUUGAUACUGCAUGGCUUGAAUCCAGGAGAGGUGAGUGGAAUUCCGAGUGUAGAGGUGAAAUUCGUAGAUAUUCGGAAGACACCAGUGGCGAAGGCGGCUCACUGGACUGGUAUUGACGCUGAGGGUGCGAAAGCGUGGGGAGCAAACAGGGAUUAGAUACC